AAUAAUAAUUAUAAAGUUUAUGUCCAAUGUUAUGACGGAUGUUGUUAUACUAAAUAGUAACAAUUAUCAUAAAUACUAGUAUUUAUAAUCAAUGAAAGAAGUUAUAAUAAAAUACUAGUCUAUAAAUAUAUUAUUUAUUUAUUUUUGUUUUUUUGAAAAAGUGGGCUCCACUGAGAAAACUCGUGUGGGGGCCCAGGAGUUCUAAAUAACAUUAUAAGUACAUAAAUAUACUGUAUUAUUAAUAGUACAUUUACAGUAUAAUAUUAAGUAUAUAAAUAGUGACCAAUUCCAAAAUUAGUAUUUCACUUUUACACUAUUAGGCUAUUCUAUUAUCAAUUCAUCCAGAGAUUUCAAUUAAAUAAUAUAUAUAUUUUUUAAUAAUUGAAUUGGGAGAUUCAUAAUAUAAGACUACAAUAUUGCAUAAUUUAGGACAGAUUAAGUAUAAGAAAAUUCCUAUUAAUAAUUAUUUUUAAAUUUGUUUAUAAGAAAAAAUAUUAAGCAUAUAUUGUAUUAGCACCCUGCAAUUCCUGCUGUAGUAAAUUAUGACUUUUCAUAUAAAUAACAGUUAUUUUCAUACAUAUUUUGUUUAGUGGUAGUACUUUUUAAUAAAUAGAUUGUUCAUUAUCUUUGUACUUUAUUGAGCAGUUUUGAUUUUGAUAUUUUUGUGAUUGGGAUAUAUUUUUGUUAGAUUCACCACUCCCCCUUCCCAGCCAAUCAUACUAUUAUAUAUCAAUGAUUCUACUAACGCAAAAUAUACUUGGCACAAUGCUAUCACUUCAAGGACUUAGCAUUGCGCCAAGAAAUUUAAAUAAUCACUUUAAGGACUUUAU